GUGGGGAAUCUUGCGCAAUGGGCGAAAGCCUGACGCAGCCAUGCCGCGUGAAUGAUGAAGGUCUUAGGAUUGUAAAAUUCUUUCACCGGGGACGAUAAUGACGGUACCCGGAGAAGAAGCUCCGGCUAACUUCGUGCCAGCAGCCGCGGUAAUACGAAGGGGGCUAGCGUUGCUCGGAAUUACUGGGCGUAAAGGGCGCGUAGGCGGACAGCUUAGUCAGAGGUGAAAGCCCAGGGCUCAACCUUGGAAUUGCCUUUGAUACUGGCUGUCUUGAGUUUGGGAGAGGUGAGCGGAACUCCGAGUGUAGAGGUGAAAUUCGUAGAUAUUCGGAAGAACACCAGUGGCGAAGGCGACUCACUGGCCCAAUACUGACGCUGAGGCGCGAAAGCGUGGGGAGCAAACAGGAUUAGAAACCCUGGUAGUCC
rnacentral:rRNA from 1 species